CAUUUAUUGUAGUACAUGGUAUGGUCAGUCAGGAAUCAUGUUUCAAGUCAGAUUCCAACAGAUAAGCAGAAUCAUAAGUUCUGUAAUACCAACUGCUCCCUUGUCACUUUCUUCUGUAUCCUGUCAACAAAAGCUUGCAACAGGAAAUAAUUUGCAAGUUUCCUUUCAAACCCUGAGUGCAAGCUCUUUUAGGCAAUACUCUUCGGCGAACAAAUGUCAGCUAUCAGCUAAUCAUUAUCAGAGAGUAAAUUUGGGUUUCAGGAGAACAUUUUCAGGAUCUUCAAAUUUAAGUAGUACUGUGAAAGCUUUUACGCAAAAGUAUGGAACGCUUUUCAUUGUCUUUCACACCAGUUGUUCUGUUCUUUCUAUUACAACUUUCUUCAUCCUCAUCUACAGGGGGCUUGAUACAACGCCAUUCAUCUCAUUUGCUGAAAACUUCAUAAACGUCGACAACCUUCUAGCAAAGGCAGGUUACGAUCGCUCUUUUCUCACCGGAGCACCUUCUUCUAAAGCAGCAUGUUUUGGGUUGGCGAUGAUUUUGACAAAGUGUAUCCAACCGCUUCGUUUAGCUUUCAGUGGUAUAAUGGUACCUAUCAUUGCCAAAUACUCUAAGAAAAGCUAAAAGCUUUUAGAAAAGCUAAUCAGCUAGUUCACGAAUCUGUGCUUUACAUGGCCAUGGGUACCAAAACUUUUGAUUGGUAACCUGAGCUGAUUUACAUGAUACAUCCAGAUUUAUUGUAAUCAAAUUUUCCUCCCCCCUGAUUUUUCCGGUAAAUCAAGUGUUCACUGUUUAUAAUACGAUAAAUAAACUAUUUUUUGUAUUGUCUAAUCCCAGUUUUUCUAUGAUCAUCUCUGUCAGCAAGUUCACUGUUUGCAAGUAACAAUACCAGGGCAUAUUAAAACUACCGGUAUAUGUGUAACGUUUGUGAAUACUUUUUAAUUUUA